rnacentral:rRNA from 1 species
GACGAACGCUGGCGGCGUGCCUAAUACAUGCAAGUAGAACGCUGAAGGAGGAGCUUGCUCUUCUGGAUGAGUUGCGAACGGGUGAGUAACGCGUAGGUAACCUGCCUGGUAGCGGGGGAUAACUAUUGGAAACGAUAGCUAAUACCGCAUAACAGUAGAUGUUGCAUGACAUUUACUUAAAAGUUGCAAUUGCAUCACUACCAGAUGGACCUGCGUUGUAUUAGCUAGUUGGUGGGGUAACGGCUCACCAAGGCGACGAUACAUAGCCGACCUGAGAGGGUGAUCGGCCACACUGGGACUGAGACACGGCCCAGAGUCCUAAGGGAGGCAGCAGUAGGGAAUCUUCGGCAAUGGACGGAAGUCUGACCGAGCAACGCCGCGUGAGUGAAGAAGGUUUUCGGAUCGUAAAGCUCUGUUGUAAGAGAAGAACGAGUGUGAGAGUGGAAAGUUCACACUGUGACGGUAUCGUACCAGAAAGGGACGGCUAACUACGU